UACAGAGGGUGCGAGCGUUAAUCGGAAUUACUGGGCGUAAAGCGUCCGCAGGCGGCCUGACAAGUCGGAUGUGAAAGCCCUGGGCUCAACUCAGGAAUUGCAUUCGAAACUGGUAGGCUCGAGUACGGGAGAGGGGGGUGGAAUUCCUGGUGUAGGGGUGAAAUUCGUUGAUAUCAGGAGGAACACCGGUGGCGAAGGCGGGUCUCUGGGCCGAUACUGACGCUGAGGAGCGAAAGCAUGGGGAGCGAACAGG
rnacentral:rRNA from 1 species